AAGAUGUAUGCUCAUGCUCGCUGUCGCCGCAGGGGAAUCCGGUGCGAAUCCGGAACUGUCCCGCAACGGUGUACUUCGUGCAUCCGUACGUCUUCGCACGUGCGCGCACGCCUGUUCAGUCCGAGGACCUGCCGACAGUGCGCCCGGCCG
rnacentral:ncRNA from 2 species